rnacentral:lncRNA from 1 species
UUGAUCCCAAGACUCUGAAUUCAGGACCAGAGCCAAAGGCUGAUGAUUAACCAACUGAGCCACCCAGGAAGAAGUAAAUCAUCUGCACAAGUCACCUAAUGAUAACUUAUACUCACUCAAUAAAACUUUAUUAAUUACCUGCUGUCUGGUGGGCUCUAUACUAGGAUCUAGAUUAUCCUCAUUAAUA